CCCGAGCUGGUUUGUGAGCUGCCGUGUGCAAAGGCUGUGGCGGGGGCCAGAGGGAGCUCCCACGGGGGAGGCUGGGAGCGGCAUGCCGCGAGUUCUCCCUGUUUUAUGCAUCCGGGAGCUGUUUUCUUUGCAGAGGAAAGGGGUUUAAAUUAGAAAAGUCUAGAGAAGCCCUGUGUCCAGUCAUUUCAGGUCAGCGCUGAGCUGGACUCCGCCCAGGAGCAUGGUUAAUUAAGCAUCUGGAAGCAGGGGCAGGAAACGGAGCCGAAGGCUGGCUCCCCACAGCUCCAGGAGUUGGAAAAGAGAAGCAGAGAAAGGGUUCUCUCUCCGUGCUGAGAAUCUGCCCUUGAAGUUCAGUCCUGCCCUGGGGUGGAGCAGAUGAGUUGGCUGGGACCUGCAGAAUCGGAGCGGUUGGAAUAUCUGCCAAACUGUCCAUCUUGUGCCUGCUUUGCAUAAUGCUCCGUUUGUGAGUGCUGGCCGGAUCCAGCCGAGUCGCCUAAGAAAUGACACUUGGCUUCUGCUUUGACAGGAAUAGCUCCACCUUGGCUGUUCUCCCCACAUCAUGGAUUUCACUGUCUCAGCCUUUCCCAAGAGUUUCGUUUCAGGGCCAGUGUGCACCUGGGCAUGAGCUCCUGAAGUUUGGAUAACACUUUUUUUUUUUUUA